GUCGAGCGGACCGAAGGGAGCUUGCUCCUUUAGGUUAGCGGCGGACGGGUGAGUAACACGUGGGCAACCUGCCCUGCAGACUGGGAUAACUUCGGGAAACCGGAGCUAAUACCGGAUAACACCGAAAACCGCAUGGUUUUCGGUUGAAAGGCGGCAUUAGCUGUCACUGCAGGAUGGGCCCGCGGCGCAUUAGCUAGUUGGUGAGGUAACGGCUCACCAAGGCGACGAUGCGUAGCCGACCUGAGAGGGUGACCGGCCACACUGGGACUGAGACACGGCCCAGACUCCUACGGGAGGCAGCAGUAGGGAAUCUUCCGCAAUGGACGAAAGUCUGACGGAGCAACGCCGCGUGAGCGAAGAAGGUCUUCGGAUCGUAAAGCUCUGUUGUCAGGGAAGAAACGGUGAGAGCUAAUAUCUCUUGCUAAUGACGGUACCUGAAGAAUAAGCACCGGCUAACUACGUGCCAGCAGCCGCGGUAAU
rnacentral:rRNA from 1 species